rnacentral:ncRNA from 2 species
AUUUCAUCCUGGGGGUGCUGUCCGGCAGCUGAGAGAGGCGUGUGUCUCAACCCUUAACGGACCUGAUCUGGAUUAUGCCAGCGGAGGGAAGCGGUGAAAAAAAGCG